rnacentral:lncRNA from 1 species
CAAAUGGAGAAGCUUGAUGAUGAUGAAACUGGAUUACAGUAGAGAGGCUGCUGCUGCGGAUAGUUGAUUGGAAAUAUCUAUGGCCAAGGGUGCUUCCUUCUGUAAACAAGAACAAGACAACCAGAUCUAAACGUGAGAGAGUUUGAAGCUUUUCAUUUUAUUUUUCUUGCUUGGAAAUCUAUUACAAUGUAAUGACUUAAUUUAUACUAAAGUGUGAAAGCCCUAGUUUGUUCCCUUAGCUGUCACAUUGGUCUUCUCUUCAUUGGAUCCCCAACAGCUGGAAUCGAUUCUGCAAUGCUAUAGGCUGCUUCAAUCCGUACGACGCAGGACCACACCGUUUGUCCUUUUCCAUGCUUUGAUGUUGUCUGAAAGUAGCCGUUGGUUGAUUCACUGUUUGAGUGGGCUUGCGUGUUGUUUCUUGUGAGCCCAUCUUGGUGAAACUCGUUUCUGCUUUCAGAUUGUCAAAGCCCACUUCCUCUUCUCUUGUUUCUUCUUGUCGCUCUGUUUCAGAAACAGAACAUAAUGUUUCUGAAACUGCUUUCUCUUUCUUUCUCCAGACCUUGUCCUUCUUCUCUUUGCUGUCUACAUGCCCCCUCAAACUUUGUGUGGGAGACACGACCACACCAAGUUUGAACCUGAGUUCUUGAUAGGUCUUCACCGGUAAGGAUUUUGUAAAGAUAUCAGCUAGUUGAUGAAUUCCGGGAAUGUGAUGAACUAUCAGCUUCCCUGCAGCAACCUUUUCUCUUACAAAAUGAAAGUCUACUUCAAAGUGUUUGGACUUCUUGUGCAUAGCUGGCGUGGCUGACAAGUAGACAGCGGAUAGAUUGUCACAAAAUAGUUCAGGGGGAGAGACUUGUGGAAUUCCAAUUUCGUCCAUGAUGUUUGUGAGCCAAACGAUCUCAGCUGCUGUGUCAGAUAAGGUUCGGUACUCAGCUUCGGUGGAGCUUCUUGACACUGACUGUUGCUUCUGUGCAGACCAGGAUAUCAAGUUUGAACCGAGAAAUGUGCAGAAUCCUCCAGUGGAUCUUCUAGUAUCAGGACAUCCUCCCCAAUCACUGUCACUAUAGGCUUUAACAGCAGAUUCAGAUGUAGAGUCAAAGGAGAUUCCAAGGUUGGUAGUGCCUCUGAGAUAUCUGAGCACUCUCUUGAGCAAGUGAAAAUCAUUUUCUGUUGGAGCAUGCAUCUUUUGGCAGAUUUAGUUGACAGCAAAUUGAAGAUCUGGUCUUGUUAAGGUCAAGUACUGAAGCUUUCCAGCAAGGCUUCUAAAGUAAGUUGGUUGUGGAAACAGAGGCGUCUCAUCCGGUUCUCUGUGUAGUUGAACUGGCAGAGGUGUGGAGACAGGAGUACAUUCAGACAUACCAGAUAUGUGGAGCAGGUCCUCAGCGUAUUUCUCUUGAUUCAAGAAGAGACCCUGGGAGUGGAAAUGCGCUUGUAGUCCAAGAAAGUAGUGGAAUUGUCCUAAAUCUUUCAUCUUGAAUUCUUUGUUCAGAGCUUCAAGGAGUGUACUGAUGAGCUUGUUGUUACUUCCAGUGAGAGCAAUAUCGUCCACAUAAAGAAGGAGGAGCAUUAUGUCUCCAUUUCGACGGUAAAUAAACAGAGAAGGAUCUCUUAGACUGCAGAUAAACCCAAAGUUCAACAAGAAAUCCCUGAACCUGUUGAACCAGGCUCUUGGAGCUUGUUUCAGUCCAUAGAUGGCUUUGUUUAGUUUGCACACAUAGCCAGGUUUCUCUUUGUUGAUGAAGCCAGGAGGUUGGUGCAUAUACACAGUUUCUGUAAGAUCACCGUAGAGGAAGGCGUGCUUGACAUCCAGUUGUUUAAUGUCUCACUUGUGCACGGUUGCUAGAUGUAGAAUAGCUCUGAUUGUUGGUGAUUUAACCACAGGACUGUAGGUGUCUAGAUAGUCAAUUCCCUCUUCUUGAUCAUAACCUUUUACCACAAGCCGAGAUCGUAGACAUUUCACUGAGCCAUCAGCGUUGAGCUUGACCCUGAAUAUCCAUCUGCAUCCGAGUAUAUGCAUAUCGGGUUGAUAUGGCACCAAGGUGAAGGUAUCUGUCUCAUCAAAAGAAACCAUUUCUUCAGUCAUUGCUCCGUUCCAUCCAGGGUGUUUGAGAGCUUCAGUAACAGUUCUGGGAGUAGUUGGAGAGGAGGUGACCGUGAACAGAACAUAUCGAGGGUUCGGUUUUGUGAUUCCCACUUUUGAUCUGGUUAUCAUAGGAUGUUGUGACUGAGAGACUGAAGUUUCAGGAACUGUCGCUUGUGUUGUGGGAAGAUUCAUCUGAUUAGAGCCAGACUGAUUGCUUGCUUCAGGAGAUUGUUGAGAAGUAACCCCAUUUCUUUCAUCCAUAGCUUGCGUAGUCAGACGAGUUGGAGGUAGAGUGCCAAACUGGACUGAUGUUCUGUUUUCAAGGCUUGUCUCUGUGAUCUCUGGAACCGUGAAGACUGGUGAGGCACUUGAGCUAGGUAUGUUCGGGAUAGGCAUGACACUGAAGUAAGAUUCUGCUGUAGUCUGAGGAGGCGUAGUAGACCUCUGAAAACUGUCUGAGGCUGACCUUUCAGGAGCUGUUUUGGGUGACAUGAAGCUUUGUUGCCAAGCAGACAUCAGAGGAGUAGUAUCCUGUUGUUGUAAGUGAAUGUAAGUGGACGCAAAGGGGAAUUUUAGUUCAUCAAACAGAACAUGUCUGUUGAUGUAAACCUUUCCUGUUGGAGGAUGUAAACAUCUAUACCCUUUGUACUUUUCAUUGUAUCCCAUGAAAACACAUUGUAGAGAUUUGGGAUCAAGCUUAUUCGAGGCAUAAGGACGCAGUGAAGGAUAACAAGCACUGCCAAAAAUUCUGAGUGCUGAAUACUCAGGUCUUUUAUCGAACAAGGUCUCAUAAGGACUUUUGUUGUUAGCUAGUGUUGAGGAAGGUAACAGAUUGCCAAGGAAGCAAGAAGUGAAGAAUGCUUCCACCCAAAAACGUUGAGGAACCUUUCCUUCAAAUAACAUGGACUGUCCAAGCUCAGUGAUGUGUCUGUGUUUUCUUUCCGCAAUACCAUUUUGUUGAGGCGUGUGGGGACAAGAGAUGAGCUGCUUGAUUCCGUGAGAAGAGAGAUGAGCUGUGAAGCUGUUGCUGACAAAUUCACCACCUCCAUCACACUGAAACAUUAGAAUCUUCUUAUCUAGCUGUUUCUCAACUAAGGUUUGCCAGAUUUUGAAGAUUUGAAGAAAAUCAGACUUCUGUCUCAUAGGAUAAAACCAAGUGUAUCUUGAGAAAUUGUCAAUGAAGAUGACAUAAUAUUUGAAACCUUGGACAGAGGUGACAGGAGAGGGACCCCAGAGAUCACAAUGAACUCUCUCUAGAGGUCUACUAGACUCAAACAAAGAACUGGAAAAAGAUAGUUUAGAGCUUUUCCCAAGUUGACAAGAGUCACAGAUCUUGGACAUGCUUUUAUUGACAUUAAUAGCUUGAAGACGAGACAAAGUUUGAAGGACCUCAGCACUUGGAUGACCCAGUCUUCUAUGCCACACUUCAGCGCUAGCUGCCACUUGCCUCGCUGAGUAGAACGCUGUGAAGGCUGAGUUGUCUAGAACAUAGAGAUCUUUAAGUCUGCUUCCUUGUGUCAGGAUUUGCUUGGUGAGCUUGUCCUUAACAUACACACCAUCACAAUCAAAGGUGAACUCACAGGGAAAAUCAACUGUAAGCUUGGACACUGAUAAUAAAGACUUGGCUAUGCUGGGACAUACUAAGACAUCUUUAAGAGUGAUAAUACCUGAAGAGGUUUGCAAUGGAACCGAUCCAACAUGUGUGAUGGGAAGGAAGUUCCCAUCAGCCACCAUCACCGAGUCAUUACCAUGAUAAGGUUGAGUAGUCUGAAGAUUUUGGUGAGAGUUAGUGACAUGCGCUGAAGCGGCUGUGUCUGGAUACCAUUCAGUCCCAUUGUAGUUCUGUUGACUGGCUUCAGAGGGAUCAUUAGAGACAUGUAGAGCUGCCAUUGCUGAGGGUUGAUCAGUGCUCUGAUAUGAAAUGUCAAAACGUCUGUAGCACUUCAACGCAUUGUGUCCAAAACGACCACAUAUCUGACAGGUAGGUCGACUUGAGGCAUCACCCUGAAGGUUGUUUCCCGGAGCCGAGCUUUGCUGGUAGAAUCCACGGCCCCUUGUAGAGUAACCUCUGCCUCUGCUGGAGUUAUACCUUCCGUUAUUGCCCCCUCGACCUCUGUACUGAGUGAAGUGAGGAAGCUGUUGAGAGUAGUUUGUGUUUUGCGGAUAGGUUUGAUCAGGAGCCGAGACAUGAAACGCCAGAUGAGGGGAUACGGAGGUCUGAGAACCUUCAUAAGACUUGAUUCUGUCUUCAUAGCCAGUAAGACGAGGCACGACAUCUUCAAACGUAGGAGCCAGAGGAGAAUCCAUAGCUCCUUCCACACUGGUCUUUAUGGGUUCAUAUUCUUGACCAAGUCCUUGAAGAGCCGCAAAAAUUUCAUCUUUUCCGUAACAGGGCUUCCCACAGAGUUCAGUUGAUCGCAUAGCCCUUUGAUUUCUUUGAGAUAGUCAGUCAUGGUUUUGUUGGCUUUGGAGACAGUUUGGAGACGUCUUUGAAGUUCGAACAGACGAGCAGAGGAGACUCUGUUAAAGUGGUUGCCGAGAGAGACCCAAACUUCCAGAGCUGUUUGAGCACCAAGAACUACACUGAGAAUGUCUUCAGAGAGAGAACCAACUAACCAUGCCUGAACUAUUUGAUCAGAUCUAACCCAUUGUUGGUAGUCAGGGUUUGGAACAUCGCGAUAUCCUCCAGCUAUGUUUGGAACAUGGAUUACGGACUCUGGCUGAGGUGAGGCUCCAUUAACGAACCCCAGAAGAUCAACACCAGAGAGAAAAGACUCAAACUGCCGCUUCCAAUGUAUGUAGUUUCUUUCAGUGAGUUUGAUAGUAACACAGUUUGAGAUGUUGAGUUUUGGUUGAGAGUAUAGAUCUAAAGUGUUUUCCAUGGCUCAGGAUGUGCUCACUGAGCUCUGAUACCAUGUAAACAAGAACAAGACAACCAGAUCUAAACGUGAGAGAGUUUGAAGCUUUUCAUUUUAUUUUUCUUGCUUGGAAAUCUAUUACAAUGUAAUGACUUAAUUUAUACUAAAGUGUGAAAGCCCUAGUUUGUUCCCUUAGCUGUCACAUUGGUCUUCUCUUCAUUGGAUCCCCAACAGCUGGAAUCGAUUCUGCAAUGCUAUAGGCUGCUUCAAUCCGUACGACGCAGGACCACACCGUUUGUCCUUUUCCAUGCUUUGAUGUUGUCUGAAAGUAGCCGUUGGUUGAUUCACUGUUUGAGUGGGCUUGCGUGUUGUUUCUUGUGAGCCCAUCUUGGUGAAACUCGUUUCUGCUUUCAGAUUGUCAAAGCCCACUUCCUCUUCUCUUGUUUCUUCUUGUCGCUCUGUUUCAGAAACAGAACAUAAUGUUUCUGAAACUGCUUUCUCUUUCUUUCUCCAGACCUUGUCCUUCUUCUCUUUGCUGUCUACAUUGGUCUUCUCUUCAUUGGAUCCCCAACAGCUGGAAUCGAUUCUGCAAUGCUAUAGGCUGCUUCAAUCCGUACGACGCAGGACCACACCGUUUGUCCUUUUCCAUGCUUUGAUGUUGUCUGAAAGUAGCCGUUGGUUGAUUCACUGUUUGAGUGGGCUUGCGUGUUGUUUCUUGUGAGCCCAUCUUGGUGAAACUCGUUUCUGCUUUCAGAUUGUCAAAGCCCACUUCCUCUUCUCUUGUUUCUUCUUGUCGCUCUGUUUCAGAAACAGAACAUAAUGUUUCUGAAACUGCUUUCUCUUUCUUUCUCCAGACCUUGUCCUUCUUCUCUUUGCUGUCUACACCUUCCUGAUCGAGUUUUUUUGCUCUGUAUAUGCUAUGCAAUUUCGUCAUCGCAGUCUCUGUCUGAUGUAGGAGACGGAAGAAGAAUGGCUCUAACGAUAAGUGAAGCAGUGCCGAUGAGAGCA